rnacentral:rRNA from 1 species
UAACCUGGUUGAUCCUGCCAGUGGUCAUACGCUUCGUUCAAGGGCUAAGCCAUGCAUGUCUCAGCGCAAACGGUCUCAACAGUGGGUCUGUGAAUGGCUCAUUACAUCAGCAGUCAUCUCUGUGAUACAGUGUGGGUGGCACCAGCUCCAGGUGCCCAACUGGACAUCCACCAAAACAUAGUGGCUAAUACACGCAAGUCAGGGUCUGCCACAGCAACGCGGUCAGUGGUCCUGCUGCCUCCGGGCGGUGGAUUGCACCCAGUCGACUGAAAGAUCAGCGCCUGGGAAAAGGCAGUGUGCUUGUUGGCUGACUCAGGCUGGUCCCCCAGGGACUCCAGUGCUGGCAAAAGUGAUGUGGCCCAGCCACAGCUUGCUCGAUCACACGAACUUCUGACCUAUCAGCUUGACUGUGGUGCAGUGGACCACAGUGGCCCUAACGGGUAACGGAGAAUCAGGGUUCGAUUCCGGAGAGGGGGCCUGAGAGAUGGCCACCACUACCAAGGUGGGCAGCAGGCGCGCAAAUUGCCCAAUGCACAGUCAGUCUGCGAGGCAGCAACGAACCGCAACAGUGCCAUCGGUACUAUCUAUCAGUGGGACUUGUGAUGGAUGCAAUCCAAACACAGUGAUGAGAACCGACUGGAGGGCAAGUCUGGUGCCAGCAGCUGCGGUAAUUCCAGCUCCAAGGGCGUAUACUAACAUUGCUGCUGUUAAAACACUUGUAGUCUGCCCCUGGGUGCAGGUCUGCUGGGAGGCUGGCUAAGGUGCCGAUAGUGUUGUGGGUGACCCCUCACCAGGGGAAACCGGCACGCUUGGUGGCUGGCUGGCACACAACCCCCGGCAGUAUGUCCCUGUGCCCCCCCUUCCGAAGGAUGGUGCGACCCAGCUCCUGCCAGAAGUCCCCUUCACUGGGGGCCCAUAGCGAUUCUACACCCACAGCGUGCUGGGCCUCAGGUGUCAGAGGUGUGUUGGCUCUGCCCAUGCAUGCCUCUCCCCUGGCCCAUCCCUGGAGCCCACCAUCACAGUCACCGUGGAAAACUCAGUGUGCCCAAAGCAACCAGUUCUGGCUGAAUGUCUCUCCAUGGAAUGGCCAAGCAUCGACCGAGUGUGGCAAUGGAGUUGUGCUGAUCUUGGAGCCCCCUGACCAAGGGCAAUUGUGGUGCUCGGCUGUGGCAGGCACACCGAGGGGGUCCCCAACCAGGAUUCCCUGUGCCCUGUCACUGGCCACUGUAUCCCUCCGACUGCGAGGGGACUGCUCGGGGUGGAAGGUAUUGCAGCGCCAGAGGUGAAAUUCUUAGAUCGCUGUGGGAUCAACCGCAGCGAAGGCGCUCUGCAAGGAUGUGUUCGUCGAUCAAGAAUGAGAGCCUGGGGAGCAAAGAUGAUCAGACACCGUCGUAGUCCAGAGCUGUAAACCGUGCCAGCUCGGCCGUGACAGGGCAAGUCCACGGACCCUGCCACGGCCAUGCCCCCUGCAUCGAGAAAUCCACAAGCCUGUGGGUUCAGGGGGGAGUACUGUCGCAAGGCUGAAACUUAAAGGAAUUGACGGAAUGGCACCACAAGGCGUGGAGUAUGCGGCUUAAUUUGACUCAACACGGGGAAUGUUACCAGGUCAGGACGCUGCUUGGAUGGACAGACUGAGAGCUCUUUCUAGAUCCCUCGGAUGGUGGUGCAUGGCCGCUCCUGAUUGGUGGAGUGAUUUGUCUGGUUGAUUCCGAUAACGAGUGAGAUCUCUGCCUCCCACUAGCCCCAGUCUCGCAUCUGGUAGGGCCGGUUCCCUGCUGCACUGCAUUCGUCCACCCAGUCGGUAUGGGAAGUGGCUUCGGCUGUGACUCUGCUGGCUGGACAUGCGGAUUGGGUGUGGUGGUUCCGGCCUGAGAGUGCUGUGGGCCAGCUUCUCUGAGGUGCUGUGUUCAACUGCCAAGGGCCCGCAUGCUAGAGCCAACAGCAGGUCUGUGAUGCUCCCAGAUGUCCUGGGCCGCACGCGCACUACAUUGACCCAGUGAAGGUGCUACCCUUGGCCCUGCCGAGGCCUGCCCAGAAGUGGGUGGGAAACCCUCCAAGACUGUGCUGUGCUGGGGAUAGAUGAUUGCAACUGUCUGCCUUGAACGAGGAAUGCCUAGUAGGCGUGGGUCAUCAGCCCACACCGAUUGUGUCCCUGCCAUUUGUACACACCGCCCGUCGUUGCUACCGAUGGUUACUGGGUAGAGCUCUCUGGACAACAGGCCCAGGUGUGGCCCCCCCAUGGGGGAAACCCUUGACUCUCCCUUGGAAUCUGGGCAAUACUCUGCUGCUAGAGGAAGCAAAAGUCGUAACAAGGUUGCUGUAGGUGAACCUGCAAAAGGAUCA